rnacentral:rRNA from 1 species
CAGCCGCCGCGGUAAUACGUAGGUGGCAAGCGUUGUCCGGAAUUAUUGGGCGUAAAGGGCUCGCAGGCGGUUUCUUAAGUCUGAUGUGAAGGCCCCCGGCUCAACCGGGGAGGGUCAUUGGAAACUGGGAAACUUGAGUGCAGAAGAGGAGAGUGGAAUUCCACGUGUAGCGGUGAAAUGCGUAGAGAUGUGGAGGAACACCAGUGGCGAAGGCGACUCGCUGGGCCGACACUGACACUGAGAGACGAAAGCUAGGGGAGCAAAUGGGAUUAGAUACCCCGGUAGUCCCUGUCUCUUAUAC